AUUGAACGCUGGCGGCAUGCCUUACACAUGCAAGUCGAACGGCAGCACGGAGCUUGCUCUGGUGGCGAGUGGCGAACGGGUGAGUAAUAUAUCGGAACGUACCCUAGAGUGGGGGAUAACGUAGCGAAAGUUACGCUAAUACCGCAUACGAUCUAAGGAUGAAAGUGGGGGAUCGCAAGACCUCAUGCUCGUGGAGCGGCCGAUAUCUGAUUAGCUAGUUGGUAGGGUAAAAGCCUACCAAGGCAUCGAUCAGUAGCUGGUCUGAGAGGACGACCAGCCACACUGGAACUGAGACACGGUCCAGACUCCUACGGGAGGCAGCAGUGGGGAAUUUUGGACAAUGGGCGAAAGCCUGAUCCAGCAAUGCCGCGUGAGUGAAGAAGGCCUUCGGGUUGUAAAGCUCUUUUGUCAGGGAAGAAACGGUGAAAGCUAAUAUCUUUUGCUAAUGACGGUACCUGAAGAAUAAGCACCGGCUAACUACGUGCCAGCAGCCGCGGUAAUACGUAGGGUGCAAGCGUUAAUCGGAAUUACUGGGCGUAAAGCGUGCGCAGGCGGUUUUGUAAGUCUGAUGUGAAAUCCCCGGGCUCAACCUGGGAAUUGCAUUGGAGACUGCAAGGCUAGAACCUGGCAGAGGGGGGUAGAAUUCCACGUGUAGCAGUGAAAUGCGUAGAUAUGUGGAGGAACACCGAUGGCGAAGGCAGCCCCCUGGGUCAAGAUUGACGCUCAUGCACGAAAGCGUGGGGAGCAAACAGGAUUAGAUACCCUGGUAGUCCACGCCCUAAACGAUGUCUACUAGUUGUCGGGUCUUAAUUGACUUGGUAACGCAGCUAACGCGUGAAGUAGACCGCCUGGGGAGUACGGUCGCAAGAUUAAAACUCAAAGGAAUUGACGGGGACCCGCACAAGCGGUGGAUGAUGUGGAUUAAUUCGAUGCAACGCGAAAAACCUUACCUACCCUUGACAUGGCUGGAAUCCUUGAGAGAUCAGGGAGUGCUCGAAAGAGAACCAGUACACAGGUGCUGCAUGGCCGUCGUCAGCUCGUGUCGUGAGAUGUUGGGUUAAGUCCCGCAACGAGCGCAACCCUUGUCAUUAGUUGCUACGAAAGGGCACUCUAAUGAGACUGCCGGUGACAAACCGGAGGAAGGUGGGGAUGACGUCAAGUCCUCAUGGCCCUUAUGGGUAGGGCUUCACACGUCAUACAAUGGUACAUACAGAGCGCCGCCAACCCGCGAGGGGGAGCUAAUCGCAGAAAGUGUAUCGUAGUCCGGAUUGUAGUCUGCAACUCGACUGCAUGAAGUUGGAAUCGCUAGUAAUCGCGGAUCAGCAUGUCGCGGUGAAUACGUUACCGGGUCU
rnacentral:rRNA from 1 species